rnacentral:rRNA from 1 species
GACGAACGCUGGCGGCGUGCUUAACACAUGCAAGUCGAACGGAAAGGCCCUGCUUUUGUGGGGUGCUCGAGUGGCGAACGGGUGAGUAACACGUGAGUAACCUGCCCUUGACUUUGGGAUAACUUCAGGAAACUGGGGCUAAUACCGGAUAGGAGCUACUGCUGCAUGGUGGGGGUUGGAAAGUUUCGGCGGUUGGGGAUGGACUCGCGGCUUAUCAGCUUGUUGGUGGGGGAGUGGCUUACCAAGGCUUUGCCGGGUAGCCGGCCUGAGAGGGUGACCGGCCACCUUGCGACUGAGCUACGGCCCAGAGCCGUGCGGGAGGCAGCAGUGGGGAAUAUUGCCCGAUCCGCGGAAGCCUGAUGCAGCAUCGCCGCGUGCUGGAUUGCGGCCUUCGGUUUGUAAACCGCUUUCGCCUGUGACGAAGCGUGAGUGACGGUAAUGGGUAAAGAAGCACCGGCUAACUACGUG